UACGUAGGGUGCAAGCGUUGUCCGGAAUUAUUGGGCGUAAAGAGCGUGUAGGCGGUCCGGUAAGUCCGCUGUGAAAGUCGGGGGCUCAACCCUCGAAUGCCGGUGGAUACUGUCGGGCUAGAGUGCGGAAGAGGCGAGUGGAAUUCCUGGUGUAGCGGUGAAAUGCGCAGAUAUCAGGAGGAACACCUAUUGCGAAGGCAGCUCGCUGGGACGUUACUGACGCUGAGACGCGAAAGCGUGGGGGAGCAAACAGG
rnacentral:rRNA from 1 species